GACGAACGCUGGCGGCGUGCUUAACACAUGCAAGUCGAACGGUAAGGCUCCAGCUUGCUGGGGUACACGAGUGGCGAACGGGUGAGUAACACGUGGGUGACCUGCCCUGCACUUCGGGAUAAGCCUGGGAAACUGGGUCUAAUACCGGAUAGGACCGCACCGUGAGGGUGUGGUGGAAAGUUUUUUCGGUGUGGGAUGGGCCCGCGGCCUAUCAGCUUGUUGGUGGGGUAAUGGCCUACCAAGGCGGCGACGGGUAGCCGGCCUGAGAGGGUGGACGGCCACAUUGGGACUGAGACACGGCCCAGACUCCUACGGGAGGCAGCAGUGGGGAAUAUUGCACAAUGGGCGGAAGCCUGAUGCAGCGACGCCGCGUGGGGGAUGACGGCCUUCGGGUUGUAAACUCCUUUCACCAUCGACGAAGGGUUUCUGACGGUAGAUGGAGAAGAAGCACCGGCUAACUACGUGCCAGCAGCCGCGGUAAUACGUAGGGUGCGAGCGUUGUCCGGAAUUACUGGGCGUAAAGAGCUCGUAGGUGGUUUGUCGCGUCGUCUGUGAAAUUCCGGGGCUUAACUCCGGGCGUGCAGGCGAUACGGGCAUAACUUUAGUACUGUAGGGGAGACUGGAAUUCCUGGUGUAGCGGUGAAAUGCGCACAUAUCAGGAGGAACACCGGUGGCGAAAGAGGGGUCUCUUGGGCUGUAACUGACGCUCAGGAGCGAAAACAUCGGGGAGCGAACAAG
rnacentral:rRNA from 1 species